ACCAGUGUAGCAUAGUGGUAAGGAGCAGGGUUUGCAACUGAAAGGUUGCUGGUUCAAUUCCCCGCUGGGG